AUAAUUUACAAAAUCGAAAAUUCACUGAAACAAUAAAACUAAUCGUUAAUUUAUGCAAAGAAUGGUUUGCCAAGGUACAAAUCGUGACUAACGUCUUAAUAUCAGACAUUAAAACCCUAUGGAUAAUAACAAGCGGAAGUAAUUUGCAUAAAGCAAAAGUCAUAGGAAGAUUUAUAUUUUAUUAUUUGAUAAUAACAGCACUUAGUAUAAUUGAAAAGGGAUUUUGGUUAAACAAGCAAAUAUUUAAAGUUACCAACGACGUGGUCCUAAGUACUGUUCAAAAUAAACAAACAACAACAGUAUUAUUUAUUUUUAUUGGUAUAAUUUUACUUGGUUUUCUGCUUGGAGCUGCAAUCACGUCUUCUGCAUGCGACGAUUAACAGACUAUUCAUUCUUUUUGUUUUUACUGUUCUAUUCUUACCUUGUCUAACGCAAAUGUCACGAUUGUAUGCACGCGAACUCGCUAAAUCGAUUUUGCAGAUUUAAACUUGAUCUUGAGUAAACCCAAAGCUUCAGAAGAAAAUACUUUUUUUUUCACCAUCCAAUAAAAAAAUUUACUGCCCUUCCCUUUGUAAAGAAAAAUUGAACAA